rnacentral:rRNA from 1 species
UACGUAGGGGGCAAGCGUUGUCCGGAUUUAUUGGGCGUAAAGAGCGUGUAGGCGGCUAGGUAGGUCCGUUGUGAAAACUCGAGGCUCAACCUCGAGCUGUCGAUGGAAACCAUCUGGCUAGAGUCCGGAAGAGGAGAGUGGAAUUCCUGGUGUAGCGGUGAAAUGCGCAGAUAUCAGGAAGAACACCCGUGGCGAAGGCGGCUCUCUGGUACGUGACUGACGCUGAGACGCGAAAGCGUGGGGAGCAAACAGG